UGCCAGCCGCCGCGGUAAUACGGAGGGUGCAAGCGUUAAUCGGAAUUACUGGGCGUAAAGCGUACGUAGGCGGUCAAUUAAGUCGGAUGUGAAAGCCCCGGGCUCAACCUGGGAAUUGCAUUCGAUACUGGUUGACUAGAGUGUGGCAGAGGCAAGUGGAAUUCCCGGUGUAGCGGUGAAAUGCGUAGAUAUCGGGAGGAACAUCAGUGGCGAAGGCGACUUGCUGGACCGAUAUUGACACUGAGGUGCGAAAGCGUGGGGAGCAAACGGGAUUAGAUA
rnacentral:rRNA from 1 species